GACGAACCGUGCGAACGUUGUUCGGAAUCACUGGGCUUAAAGGGCGCGUAGGCGGCUUGCCAAGUCCGGGGUGAAAGCCUCCAGCUCAACUGGAGAAGUGCCUUGGAUACUGGCGAGCUCGAGUGAGGUAGGGGCGGGUGGAACUUCCGGUGGAGCGGUGAAAUGCGUUGAUAUCGGAAGGAACGCCGGUGGCGAAAGCGACCCGCUGGACCUCUUCUGACGCUGAGGCGCGAAAGCUAGGGGAGCAAACGGG
rnacentral:rRNA from 1 species